CAAUAAUAUACAAGUUGACGAGGUAUUAUCAGUACAGAGUUUGUUACAGUUUUAACAUGGUAUCUAGAUUCGUGUGUGUGAGAGGAUCUUGAUAACCCAAAAAAGUGUGUAGAGGUGUCAGGAUUUUAGAGGCGGACCCAGGUUGCGUUGAAGAUACACUGGUGUAAGAAAAAUGGUAAGAAAUGGCAGCAUGAUACAGAGCACCACCUGUGUUCCAUGCCAAAUUCUUUGAUGACUGGAAGACAAAAGAUGCUUGCUAUCUUUGGCUUCCAAGAUGUAAUGGCAUUACAGAUACUGGACGCAAGCCUUCUAAAGAUAAGGAGAAAGAGUUGGAAUUACAACAAAAGUUGGAUAAGAAAGCCAAAUUUCUUAUUUACCCAUGCGUGAACACCAAGAUUUUCAAAACAAGAUUUCAAAAGCUUCUAUUACUAAAGAUUGUUAGUAGAAAACCAACUGCAUUAAAAGUGUACUGCUUGCAUGUAACAAGUAUUAGUUUACUCUCAGAAUUUUGUAUGAUUUGACAACUUUUGUCUUCAAUAACUCAAUUAGAUGAUAAAUUUCACAAAAACAGAA
rnacentral:sRNA from 1 species